GGUGAACUUCCAUUCAAGCUUGAAACUGGGUACGUAAGUGUUGGUGAUUCUGAGCUGUUCUACUACUUCAUUGAAUCGCAAGGUGAUCCUCAAGAAGACCCUAUUUUUCUCUGGUUAACUGGUGGACCUGGUUGUUCUAGUUUCAGUGGAAUAAUCUAUGAAAUCGGUCCAUUGGAGUUUGACAUAAACCACUACAAGGGGGGCUUGCCAAAACUGAAGUACUACCCAUAUGCAUGGACAAAGACAGCCAGCUUUAUAUUUUUAGAUGCACCAGUUGGCACAGGUUUUUCUUAUUCUAGGACUCCACAAGGAUGGCUUACCUCAGACUCAGAAUCAGCAGAGCAGUCUUAUCAAUUCCUCCGACAGUGGUUGCUAGAACAUCCACAAUAUUUGCUAGUUCAGCUAUUUAUUGGUGGUGAUUCUUACUCAGGCGUUACUGUUCCAUUGAUCACUCAAAAAGUGGUGGAGGCUAAUGAAGCAAUGGUCUACCCAUAUUUGAAUCUCAAAGGAUAUCUGCUUGGGAGCCCAACUACAGAUCAACUUCUAAAUGCAAAUGCAAAAAUAAUAUUUGCUCACAGGAUGGCUCUAAUUUCAGAUCAACUAUAUGAGAAACUUAAAACAAGUUGCAAUGACUCGUAUGUGGAUGUAGAUCCAUCCAACACAGCAUGUGUAGCUGCACUUGGAACUUAUGAAAUGUGCAUCAAAGAUUUAUAUACCAAUGAUAUCUUGGAACCUAGUUGUGUUUUCGCAUCCCAUAGAGAAAAUUCAGAAACUGUUCGAAGAUCUGCGAAAGAAAAUCCCAAAAAUUUCAUCCUUUCACCACCAAGAAUUCCUGAAUUAUGGUGUCGAAAUUUCAAUUAUGUGCUGGCCUAUGUGUGGUCAAAUAAUCUUGAAGUCCAAGAUGCCUUACACGUUCGAAAGGGAGCUGUAUCAACAUGGCAAAGGUGCAACCAGACUUUAUCAUACACAAAAGAUGUUCAAAGUGUUAUUGAUGUUCAUCGGUAUCUCAGUAACAAAGGCUUGGAAGUUCUAGUACAAAAUGGAGAUCGUGACAUGGUUGUUCCCUUUGUUGCAACUCAAGCAUGGAUAAAGUCUCUAAAUUUGACAAUUUCUGAUGAGUGGCGACCAUGGUUUGUUGAUGGCCAAGUUGCAGGAUACACAAGAAAGUAUGUGAAGUAUUCGCAGAACGCAACAUUUUAUCUGACAUAUGCAACUGUUAAGGGUGGGGGUCACACAGCACCAGAGUACUAC
rnacentral:misc_RNA from 1 species